ACUUCAGAGGAUAGCAGAAGCGUUUGGGAAAGCGCGCCAGAGAGGGUGAGAGCCCCGUAAGCGAAAUCCAAAGAAGGCCUAUCAGUAUCCUGAGUAGGGCGGGACACGUGAAAUCCCGUUUGAAUCCGCGAGGACCAUCUCGCAAGGCUAAAUACUAACCAGUGACCGAUAGUGAACCAGUACCGUGAGGGAAAGGUGAAAAGAACCCCGGGAGGGGAGUGAAAGAGAACCUGAAACCGUGUGCCUACAAGUAGUCAGAGCCCGUUAACGGGUAAUGGCGUGCCUUUUGUAGAAUGAACCGGCGAGUUGCGUUAGUCAGCAAGGUUAAGUCAGAAAAGACGGAGCCGUAGCGAAAGCGAGUCUGAAGAGGGCGAGCAGUUGGCUGACGCAGACCCGAAACCAAGUGACCUACCCAUGACCAGGUUGAAGGCGCGGUAAAACGCGCUGGAGGACCGAACCCACGUAAGUUGAAAAUUGCGGGGAUGAGUUGUGGGUAGCGGUGAAAUUCCAAACGAACUUGGAGAUAGCUGGUUCUCUCCGAAAUAGCUUUAGGGCUAGCCUCGCAAAGAGGAUGCUGGAGGUAGAGCUCUGUUUGGACUAGGGGCCCGUCAAGGGUUACUGAAUUCAGAUAAACUGCGAAUUCCAGACAU
rnacentral:rRNA from 1 species